GAUGAACGCUGGCGGCGUGCCUAAUACAUGCAAGUCGAGCGAACAGACGAGGAGCUUGCUCCUCUGACGUUAGCGGCGGACGGGUGAGUAACACGUGGAUAACCUACCUAUAAGACUGGGAUAACUUCGGGAAACCGGAGCUAAUACCGGAUAAUAUAUUGAACCGCAUGGUUCAAUAGUGAAAGACGGUUUUGCUGUCACUUAUAGAUGGAUCCGCGCCGCAUUAGCUAGUUGGUAAGGUAAAGGCUUACCAAGGCAACGAUGCGUAGCCGACCUGUGAGGGUGAUCGGCCACACUGGAACUUAGCCACGGUCCAGACUCCUACGGGAGGCAGCAGUAGGGAAUCUGCCGCAGUGGGCGAAAGCAUGACGGAGCAACGCCGCGUGAGUGAUGAAGGUCUUCGGAUCGUAAAACUCUGUUAUUAGGGAAGAACAAAUGUGUAAGUAACUAUGCCCGUCUUGACGGUACCUAAUCAGAAAGCCACGGCUAACUACGUG
rnacentral:rRNA from 1 species